rnacentral:rRNA from 1 species
AGUGAACGCUGGCGGUAGGCCUAACACAUGCAAGUCGAACGGCAGCACAGUAAGAGCUUGCUCUUACGGGUGGCGAGUGGCGGACGGGUUAGGCAUACAUCGGAAUCUACUUUUUCGUGGGGGAUAACGUAGGGAAACUUACGCUAAUACCGCAUACUACCUACGGGUGAAAGCAGGGGAUCUUCGGACCUUGCGCGAUUGAAUGAGCCGAUGUCGGAUUAGCUAGUUGGCGGGGUAAAGGCCCACCAAGGCGCCGAUCCGUAGCUGGUCUGAGAGGAUGAUCAGCCACACUGGAACUGAGAAACGGUCCAGACUCCUACGGGAGGCAGCAGUGGGGAAUAUUGGACAAUGGGCGAAAGCCGGAUCCAGCAAUACCGCGUGGGUGAAGAAGGCCUUCGGGUUGUAAAGCCCUUUUGUUGGGAAAGAAAAGAAGCAGGUUAAUACCCCGCUGUUCUGACGGUACCCAAAGAAUAAGCACCGGCUAACUUCGUG